rnacentral:lncRNA from 1 species
UUGCAUCCAUUAAUUGAAGUAUAUUUAAUUGUAUUAAAUACUCUGUGAUGUCCAUUUGUUAGUUCACUUGAUUCUUUAUGCCACAGAUAUCUCCAGAAAUGCAAGUAUCAUAUAUAACUCUGUAAACCUUGUAAACUCUCCUUUGGUGCCCUUGGUUGUUGCAACAGGUGGUAAUUUGUAGGAAUAUUUUAGUAAUUUAUAGGGUGGUGAUUGCAUGGGUGGCAAUGGGGUUAUCUUACCAUGGCUCCAUUCACCUUUACCUUCAAUAACAACAACAACAAAAUCAUAAGUCUCAACUAUUUGGGGUUGGUUAUAUGGAUCUUUUGCCAUUAUUGUCAUUGGCAGAUAUGUGUGUGUGUAUAUAUAUAUGUGUAGGUAUGUAUGUAUUUAUACGCAUGACACAAUCUGACUUUUUAGGCAUCAAAGAUCACAUAGGUCAUAUCGAGAGGAGAGGGUGAUAAUUUUGAUUUUCUUGCCAC